UACGUAGGGGGCAAGCGUUAUCCGGAUUUACUGGGUGUAAAGGGAGCGUAGACGGAAUUGCAAGUCUGAUGUGAAAAUCCGGGGCUCAACCCCGGGACUGCAUUGGGAACUGCCCCGCUCGAGUGCCGGAGAGGCAGGCGGAAUUCCUAGUGUAGCGGUGAAAUGCGUAGAUAUUAGGAGGAACACCAGUGGCGAAGGCGGCCUGCUGGACGAUGACUGACGUUGAGGCUCGAAAGCGUGGGGAGCAAACAGG
rnacentral:rRNA from 1 species